UACAGAGGGUGCGAGCGUUAAUCGGAAUUACUGGGCGUAAAGGGCGCGUAGGCGGUAUAUUAAGUGAGAUGUGAAAUCCCUGGGCUUAACCUAGGAAUGGCAUCUGAGACUGGUAUGCUAGAGUGCGGUAGAGGAUAGUGGAAUUUCCGGUGUAGCGGUGAAAUGCGUAGAUAUCGGAAGGAACACCAGUGGCGAAGGCGGCUAUCUGGACUGACACUGACGCUGAGGCGCGAAAGCUAGGGGAGCAAACAGG
rnacentral:rRNA from 1 species